CUUGACCGAGCCCAGCCACAACGGCCGGUCGGGCGUGCGGUCCUGGCCGUAGGUGGCCAGCAGCGCCUGCGCCUC
rnacentral:antisense_RNA from 1 species